rnacentral:lncRNA from 1 species
UGUUGGAUUGGAGGAUAGUAGAUAUUAUCAAGGUUGAAUGUAGAAGUGGGUUGUGCGAAUGCAGUGUUAAAUGUUUGGGGUUGAGAUUGGGGGUUUGAAUUAUCAAAGUUUGGUUGAGGAAUUGGAGUGUACUCUAUAGGUAGGUGUAAGUUGGUUUGUGGUUGAUAUUGUUGGUUGUAAAAGUAGUUUGUUUGAGGGAAUGAAGUGUUUGGAUUUUGGUGUUGGGAUGAGGUGGUAUAAAAUGUGUGUUGUUGUGUGGUAUAGGUGUGAUGGUAUAUUUGUUGGACGGAUGAAGAAGGUUGGGCCCCAAAUUGGGAUGUGUAUGUGGGGGAAUGUUAUGAUGUAGGGGUGAUGUAGUUUGCUGGGUUGAAGAAGAGACACAUUGAUGGGGAUCGUUCAAAAAUUAUGUCGGAGCAACUUGCGUAAAAGGAAUUAACAAAAAUCAAUUCAUAUAUUCUCUACCCGGCUUAGACUCACAAAGUACCGAGUUCCCUUGUAAUAUCAAAUGCCUUCUCUUUUUUCAUUCUUUGACCUCUUCUUUAUUCAAAUCUUGUCAAUGUGUAUCCCAAGCUUGGACCAUAGUCAUAUUAUGGUGUUCACUUAGACAUAUUGGCU